GUAGGGAAUAUUGCACAAUGGGCGCAAGCCUGAUGCAGCAACGCCGCGUGCGCGAUGAAGGCCUUCGGGUCGUAAAGCGCUUUUCGGGGAGAUGAGGAAGGACAGUAUCCUCGGAAGAAGGAUCGGCUAACUACGUGCCAGCAGCCGCGGUAAAACGUAGGAUCCGAGCGUUAUCCGAAUUCACUGGGCGUAAAGCGCGUGCAGGCGGUUCGGUAAGUUGGAUGUGAAAUCUCCCGGCUCAACUGGGAGGGGACGUUCAAUACUGUCGGACUCGAGGACGGUAGAGGGAGGUGGAAUUCCCGGUGUAGUGGUGAAAUGCGUAGAUAUCGGGAGGAACACCAGUGGCGAAGGCGGCCUCCUGGACCGUACCUGACGCUCAGACGCGAAAGCUAGGGGAGCGAACGGGAUUAGAAACCCGGGUAGUCC
rnacentral:rRNA from 1 species